GCAGGGCGUGGUGGUGUGCGCCUGUAAUCCCAGCUACUUGGGAGGCUGAGGCAGGAGAAUCACUUGAACCCAGGAGGCGGAGUUUGCAGUGAGCUGAGAUUGCACCAUUAUACUCCAGCCUGGGUGACAAAGUGAGACUCUGUCUCAA
rnacentral:sRNA from 1 species